rnacentral:lncRNA from 1 species
UUUUGCUUAUGGAGACUUUUAUAUUGCACAGAAAUAAGAUAUAGGAAAAGACUAGCAGAUACGAUUUCAUGUUUCAUCUUUGCAGAUCAUGACCUCAGGAAUGUCAUGCCACUUCCAUUAAUCCUUUUCUCGACUUAAAGAAGCCUGCCCAAACCAGCCUAAUCCCUUUCAGUGUUUGCUUACUCGCAUGAAUCCUGUCGUAAAACAGGCACAUGCCAUUUGAAAUAACACUCGUUAAAUUAAAUGGGAGGUUACAGAGAGACGCAUAUGAUUUCAUUUUGCCGAGUGCUGAUCCAUAACGCAGUGAAGGUUCAGGAGUUGAGUGAUGGCUUCACCUGGCAGCUUACCUAAUAUGCCGGGCAGUGUCCUUCUGGAUAUGUGUUACUUGUCAGUGCCAGGAAACAAGGCUAUGUUUUAGUUGGAGCUCUGUUAUAGCAGACACUACAUAGUUUAGAUUAACUCCUUUCAGUAGUACAGCAUCAAUGUGUUAUUCCCUUAACAUAAAACAUACAGAUUAUGUAAAUCUGUAAUAAAUACUAUUUUGAAGUGUAUAGUAAUCAGAAAUCUUUCAGGGCAGGAUGGAAUGGAAACUGAGAAAUAUUGGAGAGUAAACAUUCCAACGCUCAUUCCUCUGCUUCUCCCUGGCAGAGUGGAGCACUCGCUGUAGCUGGGCUGCCAAUGCUCCAGCGCAAGGGUUUGCCCAGCGAGUCCCGCAGAGCAUGGACUUUGUGGGAGAGCUAGAGCCAAAGUGAUCCCACGCGAAGCAUUUCUCCUCUCUCUGCAGACCCUGACGCCCUGAUUGCAAAUGGGAAUGGCUGUUCCUGGUCUGAGGGAAGGCCGGCCCUUUUCGUAUCAACUCAGGAAGGCAAACUGGGUAUAUGCGGUCAUUCAGGGUCGCAAGGCCAAGUGAUCCGAGAGGCAAAAGGCAGAGGUGGAAGAGAGGCCAUACAAUUUCCUUACAACCUGUUUAGCAUUCCGGACUCUAGUCACUGUGCAGAGCUACGCAACGGAGCCCCCAGAGCCCAUCACUAGUUGGCAGAGCUCUGCAUUUCCCUCACCUUUGCGGGCCUGGUCUGGGGCUUUGGCGGGAGGUUGUCUCUUACUAGGGAACACUGCUACAGUCCUGGCUGUCCUCUUGCAGGGAACAGGGAGCCAGGAUGUCAGCCUAAAGAACCCACAGGACUUGUAGGAGUGGCUCCUCGCCUCUUCCCCUUGCGGGACGCACACUGACGGGCUCCUGGAAGCCUGGGCACCAAGGGCGAGAUCUGAAAUCUACCACCGAUACCCACGAGCCGGCCAGGUCCCCCGGCGCUGCCCGCCCGCCCGCCCGCCGCCCCGCCCCGCGCCGCCGGAGCUCCCCGGGGUACCAGCCCUGCCGGGUGCGAAGCUGACUGCUGCGAGGGGCCUGGCUGUGCGGGGCUUGCCAUGCGGCCGCCGAGAAGGAGGGAUCGCGGCAGGCAGGCGGAGGGAGGGAAAGCAGGGAGAGAGGGAGGGAAGGAAGGAAGGAAGGAGGCCGGGCUGAUUAGCAUGCAGCAGCGCUCGCAAGCCCGGCUCCAUUGUUUUAACACCUCCCCUCUCCUCCGCGCCAAUCUGUCACCGUUCAGCAGGCGAACGCUGCUGCCUCGAAUGCUGCUCUUCUCAAAUGAGACGGAUAAUUAGCUGCCCCGCACGAAUGGCGCACUCUUCUCACCCCUGAUUGCUAUCACCUUCUUGCUCCUGGCAGUUUUGACACCUCGUAAUCAGCCUGCUGCUUUUUCUCUUUUCUUUCCCUAUUUCUGUUUUUUUUUUUUUUCUCCCCCUUCCUUCUUCUUCUUUUUUUUUUUUUUUUUUUUUUUUUUUAAUUUCAAUCCCAGUUGCCAUUUGGAU